rnacentral:rRNA from 1 species
UACGAAGGGGGCUAGCGUUGUUCGGAAUCACUGGGCGUAAAGGGUGCGUAGGCGGGUUUUUAAGUGAGGGGUGAAAUCCUGGAGCUCAACUCCAGAACUGCCUUUGAUACUGAGGAUCUUGAGUUCGGGAGAGGUGAGUGGAACUGCGAGUGUAGAGGUGAAAUUCGUAGAUAUUCGCAAGAACACCAGUGGCGAAGGCGGCUCACUGGCCCGAUACUGACGCUGAGGCACGAAAGCGUGGGGAGCAAACAGG